CUGGCGGCAUGCCUAACACAUGCAAGUCGAACGAGACCUUCGGGUCUAGUGGCGCACGGGUGCGUAACGCGUGGGAACCUGCCUUAGGUUCGGAAUAACUCAGAGAAAUUUGAGCUAAUACCGGAUGAUGUCUUCGGACCAAAGAUUUAUCGCCUUUAGAUGGGCCCGCGUAAGAUUAGCUAGUUGGUGGGGUAAAGGCCUACCAAGGCGACGAUCUUUAGCUGGUCUGAGAGGAUGAUCAGCCACACUGGGACUGAGACACGGCCCAGACUCCUACGGGAGGCAGCAGUGGGGAAUAUUGGACAAUGGGCGAAAGCCUGAUCCAGCAAUGCCGCGUGAGUGAUGAAGGCCUUAGGGUUGUAAAGCUCUUUUACCCGGGAUGAUAAUGACAGUACCGGGAGAAUAAGCUCCGGCUAACUCCGUG
rnacentral:rRNA from 1 species